GCCGAGCCCCAGUCGGCAGCCCCAGCGCGCCUGCGCGGAGCGGCCCUGCGCGCAGUGAGGCUGUGGCGGGGGAAGGCACCGGUGGGGCCGACCCGCGGGCUGGAGGAGGGAAGCAGGCGAGCGGAAUCCCAGCGCGCGCCGCGGCGGCCCGGGCACCCUCCCCUUCCGGGCGUGAGGCUGUGAGGAGCGCCGAACCGGGCGGACUCGCACCGGCAGCGAGGCGCCGCUCCCGCCGCCCCAGGCCGGCCUCCCUUGGCUCCGGCGCUCCCGCCGUGGGGCCCGGUUUCCGCAGCGCACCCAGCUCCGGCCGCCUCCGAGCCUGCCCCUGGCCCUUCGCACGCCCCGGCGCCAGCCCGGGCCCUAGGCGGGAGGAUGACGGAGCUGCAGUCGGCACUGCUACUGCGAAGACAGCUGGCAGAACUCAACAAAAAUCCAGUGGAAGGUUUUUCAGCAGGUUUAAUAGAUGACAAUGAUCUCUACCGAUGGGAAGUCCUUAUUAUUGGUCCUCCAGAUACACUUUAUGAAGGUGGUGUUUUUAAGGCUCAUCUCACUUUCCCAAAAGAUUAUCCCCUCCGGCCUCCUAAAAUGAAAUUCAUUACAGAAAUCUGGCAUCCAAAUGUUGAUAAAAAUGGUGAUGUAUGCAUUUCUAUUCUUCAUGAGCCUGGUGAAGAUAAAUAUGGUUAUGAAAAACCAGAGGAACGUUGGCUUCCCAUUCACACCGUGGAAACCAUCAUGAUUAGUGUUAUUUCUAUGCUGGCAGAUCCUAAUGGAGACUCACCUGCUAAUGUUGAUGCUGCGAAAGAAUGGAGGGAAGACAGAAAUGGAGAAUUCAAAAGAAAAGUUGCCCGCUGUGUAAGAAAAAGCCAAGAGACUGCUUUUGAGUGACAUUUAUUCAAUAGCUGUAAUUUUACUUAUUUCAGGAUCAAGUUCUUGUUACUAGACACUGCCUUAGUCUGCUAGUUUUGAACAUCCUUCAUGCCAGCCUCUACUUCAUCCUGAGUAUUUGUUCUGGAUACAGCUGCACAUUGUUCUUCACAAAGCUCAACUCAUUGCAUUGGUCUCCAAUCGAGAAACAUGGCACUGUUUUUCCUGCACUCUACCCACCUAUUGCUGGACUUCUCUUGUAACAAGUUGGCAAACACUGGCUGGAACUGGGCUGCAAUAAAACAUGCCAGUAUCAAUGCUGACAAGAGCCUAACAAGUGCCAACUUACAGAUGAUUACGUAUUUUGAAUUCUAAUGAACUGUUUUAACCUUCAGGAAGAAUUGUAAAGACCUGUACAUAGCACAACAUGAUCCGGAUAAUAUAUAUACUGUUCAUGUACAUCCACAAAUACACCUUGUACCAAAUAAUGCUUUCUUGUAGUAGAAUAAGAAUCGUGUAAAUUCUAAAAGAUUUUAGCAGGUUUUCUUCCCCUACUCAUUGUUUCUUAUGUUUUAAAAGACUCUUUAAAGCAUGUCAGAUGAAAAGCAAUUAGGAUGAAAAGUUUCCAUUUAAUUUCCUUUAAACCAUUGAGGCUUCAUUAAACUCUUUCCAUUUACUAAAGUUUGUAUCUUCUUUGUUUUGACACGUUCCCCUUUGUGUUUAUCUCUUCUAUCUGUCAGAAGGUUUUCAAAUCAUUUAGUUCCAAUACUGAAAUACUAAAUAAGCAGUUACUUGAUUUUAAUGAUGACUUCGGAGGAGUGGUCAUCACUAGGUGCUUUGUCCUUUUUGUAUUCUAGUUGUACCCGUCACUUGGAUUGGAUGUAGCAAUAACAUUUUUUGGCUGAUGAGAGCUCUUGAACUGUCAUUAUUCCUAAGAACUAAAAAGAGUUGGUUCUGAAUUCAAUUUAGUGAAAUUUACCCCAAUUAUACAAAAUUCUGAUUUGGUUUUAUUUUUGCCCUCCAGUUACCUAAUGUUAAGGUUGGAUGACUAAAGCAUGCACAGCUACAGGCUUUCUACUUAACUUCUGGGUUUGCUAUUAAAAAUGCUAUUUACCCUCAUAACCUUAGCCCUUCAUAUUUCUUUGCCUCUAUUCUUCUAUACUCAGAUUUUUCUCACUUAUUGUACAAAGAAAUUGCGAUGUAUAUUUUCAUGUAAUUUGAUUUUGGAAUUCUGUCACCUUAUGUAGUGAGUUCUUCCAAAAUAUAAUUUUUUUCCAAUAAUUGUCAAGUCGUUGGCUUUUAUUGUAUUGAAUGAAGGUUAUAAUACUGAAUGCCAGAGAAGUGCAGUUUAGAAAAAUCUCAGGUUGAUUCUUUAUGCAAACAAACUCUUAAUACUUGAAAAUCACAUGACCAUGACAGUAUAUUUAUUUGUCUCUAUCUAGAUUCUUACGUGAAUCUCAAAGCAUUACAGAGGUGUAAAUGCUUUCUGUUUUGACAUACAGAUUCUGUCACUGACAGUGCACUUGGAUUUUAUUAAUGUUUGAGAAUAAAUAUAUUUCGUGAGUUUUCUAAAACAAUUUCAGGAAAUGGUAAAAUGAGCAUGUACAGUGUUAAAGGGAGGUCCAGAUUCCUCUCUGUUUGGUGUGAGGUUGGGAUUGGGAAGUAGUUUUUGGCAGAUGAGGGGUAGAACUUGAGACAGUACCAGAUGGGACAUGGUAUUUGUGAGAAUUGGUGCAUCUCUGCUCUGAUGAGUUUAGAGAACUAUUUUGGCAGAAUAAUGAAAGGAUUCCUGCAAGUAGCCUAGUCCUUUAUGAACUUUGCAUGUCCUUUUUUAAGCAGAAGUAAAAUGGUUAAGGACGUAGUCACCAUAGAGAGUGAUUUUUCUAAAUCCCAGGCUGUUUUCCACUCUGAAGCAUUAUAAAAACCCAUAAAUGUGUAAUGACUGAAUGUGAAAUUUUUUAUUUUAUUCAUUGUGGCCCAAAUUUCUUUAAGAACUUUGUGACUUUUUUUUUAAGACUCUUAAGAAUUGUUGCCCCUAAGUGUCAGUACUGCACACCUACCUGGGACUUUGAACGCAAUCCCUUUACUCUUAAGUCAGAAAUUGUUCACAUGGUGGUGGUUGUGACAAAAUGAAGUCUGAAUUUUGCUAUCCUGUUGCAAAAAUUCUGCCUAGCAAUCUGUUGAGUUUAAAACCUAGUGAUUUGGGAGUGGCAAAUGACCUAGUAACUCAGGGACAACUAUUCUUGAACUUUUAAGUGCCACUUUAAUUCAGUUACUUUGGUAUAAUCAUAUGUGUUUAGUUUAGAUCUAGAAGGGAGAGCCAGAAAUGAGUGCACCUUUCCACCUGGUGCCCUGGCCAUGCUACACAUGGAUACACAGGCCUAGAUAGAUGUUUUGACUUUUCCUCUGUCAGAGGUGUCAUCUGUGCCUUUCCAAGAGUUCAUCUGACAGUGUGAAUUUAAAUGCCUCCAUAUUUGUUAAGUCACACUUGGGUGACACUGAUCCAGGUGGCUGUUGUCCCACCAGUGCCUUGCCGUUAGUGUGAGGUGAGUCCUCUCUGCAAAAAUCCUUAGGAAAAGGAUUUUUCUCCCUAACCUUCUGCCAACUAUUGACAUCUCCAUAGUCAUGGAUUAUAGAACUGUUGGCUGCUUCCUAAAUUUAUUCUAAGUUCUUGUAAAGGCUUAUAGAAUUCAGUCUGUUCAUAACAGGAUAGAUGAUGUCAGUGGCUUUUUGGCCUCUUUGUAAAGAGUUUAAAGUCCAUAUGAAGUUGGUUUUACCUUGUUAUUUAUAAGGUAAUAUCUUUGUGAGGUUAUUCCACUGGUUGUGUGAUCACUUGGGUGUCACUAGUAUUUUUUAAUGGCCUUCAUUCUUAGUUGUGAAAUUUUAUCUUACACUCACUCACCCUUUACAAAUCUGCCUAUUUGGGGUUGUGGUGCCUGUGUAUCUUUGCCCGUCUGGUCUCCAGUUGGUGGAAUUUCCUUUUGUACUGCCACUUCUCAGCAUCUUUGAAAUUUGACAUAAUGUUGCUUCAUUCCAGUUUUAGUUCUGUAAUUUGUUGAUUGUAUUUAACUAUGUGAGUUCUGUUUUGAUGUUUACUGUAUUGUAAAGCACCUCAAUCAUGUGAUGGGGGCUCUAUAAAUCAAUAAAUGAUGACUUAGAGGCUG